rnacentral:lncRNA from 1 species
GCCCUUGUUUGAACUGGGUUUGAUAACUUAGUUAUGACUAUCUUCUUCACUUUGUGGCACAUAUCACAUAGUUAUUCUUGGAUAGAUACAGUCACUGACGCAACCAUGAACCGCUAAUUACAAGCUGGUGACAUUCUGCUUGUCUAUGCAGCUUUGAAGUUCUAAGGCUGUUUUUCUCUUGUGCGCUUGCUCUGUUUCAUUCUCUUCUCCUCAUGCCACCCACCCCCAAUCACUUACUCUCUCUUUCCUCUUUUCACUUUAAAGCCUUUCUGGAUUCACUCUAGGACUAUCUGGAGAAAGAGGUAAGAAUGAUCAGAUUCUGUAACUUAUUGCUUUUCCUUUCCUUCUGUACUAUCCCUGCACACAGAUCUACAGUUUGAAAGUACAGUAAUAAGAUCCUCACCCAGCCCCAUCCGCAGGAAUGCAUCAACAGCUGGCCAAACAUAAUCCAACACACAGAGCUGCCUUUGUAGAAUUAGUAACAAACAGUGGAAGGGCCAGACAGGCGUCCCAGAAGAGCUCCCCAUGACAACUGGGAAACCUCCUCACCCCCAGGGUUGAGCUGACUCCACUGAGCUGGGGUUGGAGAACCCCAGCUCUCACAUCUGAAUCUACAACAAGCCUCAAGUGCCUGCCCUCAACCUCACUAGAAGCUAUUCAGAGGGCAUUCGGCUCUCCAUAACAGCAAGUUAGAAGCAAGCAUUCUCCAUACUAACAACAGCCAUACUCUGCCUCAUGGCACAUGCCUUUUGAAAUGCAACACUGCAAAUCUCCAAAUCACAUGAACAGCAUUUACACCUGUACCUAACCAUCAGCUGUGAGCUGGUAGGACCACCUCUCGUCUUUAGAAAAUAAUUUCUUUUUGCAAAUUAUAGGCUGAUCCCGGCACUCUGAAACAUGUAAAUAUAACACUGUAUUCAUCUCCACUGAGCAUUUAGCAUCUGAAGCCUGUGGUAGCCAGCUGGUCUCAAAGUCAUCUGGGAUACAUUUAUUUUGAUUAAAUUGAUCAGAUUUCUAUUUACAGGAUAGAAUUUUUUUGCCAUUACUGAAUACAGCUGUGUUUACAGGGAUUUGUAGAAGAAGAAAACAAAACCCCACAAUCGGUCCUAGCAAAGCACAGAGCAUUCAGAACUGGAAGGAGUUAAAACAGAGGGGGCUUGCUUUCACAGUAAAAAGAAAAUUCUGCAUGCAGCUGCUUUGGCCAUGCUGUCUCACUAGUCAGGAAAUGGGUGUUGAACUGGAGCUGAAAACACAAGCUGCAAUCAAGCCCGAUCCAGCAAAGUGACAGACUUCCUGUGUAAAAUGGUCAGAAACCUUUUUUCAUGUCUCUACAUGCAUGCACAUGCAUUUAAAUCCAUGCUGCGAGGCUGCGAUUUUCUCUGGGGACACUGGUACAGUCACCUAGCCCAUCAGUUCCUUCGUCGACAGCGCCGGGGACAUCCAGACUACAAUUUACAGUUCCUCUAUCCAUGUGCUGGGUUAUAAAUUAUGCCAUCCUCCCUAGAAUGAGAAUGCACAGCAAGCGGCAGACAAUCACCCGGCAUUCGGCAUCUCUUUCUUUUCACGCGCUCCCUCGCUCCGCCUUUCUCCAGCUCUGCCUUCUCAGGCAGAUACAUCAGAUACCUUGUUUAUCCAUCUUCAGCUCCACUCUGAGGUAAAAUGCCACCACAUCUCGCCAUGGGUUGUCCCCCCAGACUAAAUCCCUGGGAACAGCCUGAGCUGGGUGCACGCGGCCGAGGCGACGGCUGCCCUUGCCCUGCGGAGCACGGGUGGGCAUUGGAUGUAAGGUAUUCCUAACUUCCCCUUCCCCAGUCCUUGGCGUCCUCUCUAGCCAUCCCACCCCAGGUCUUCUGCAGCUUCACCCUGUCCUCCAAGUCCCCUCGCCCAGCUGCGAGGCAGGAGACCCCGGCCGGAGCUCCGCCAGCAGGUCCUUCUUUCGCAGGGCGCAGACGCACGAUUCCGGGAUCGGGUGCACCACGGCGAAGCCCAGGCGGGAGACGGCAGGAGCAGCUCAGAUGAAGAAACUGAAACCCACAGAGAUGAAGUAACAUCCUCAAGAUCAAAAGGUAACAAACGAUUGAGGCAGGAUUUGGAUAUUGCUCUACAUGACGGGAAAGCCUGUGCUCUUGGAAUUACAGUCAUAGUACAACAGAUCAAGUUCAAAGCAUCAUCUAAGUCAAGGAAAACCAGUAAAGAGGUUUGGAGAGACAAACAGGGUCAACUCCAGGCAUUUGGGUCAGCAGAAACGGCACGAUUGAGCAGCACUGUGACUAUAGGAUCAUGGAUCAGAGGCUGCUUCCUCUUUGGUUCUGGGCAUCAGCCUCAUGUCCACUCAAAGUAAGUGGCCCCUCUGAUUGGAAUCGGAGGUGCCUGGGUCAUCUCACAGAGCCAAACAAAUACAAUUAGCUAUUGCAAAGCCUUUUGGGAAUUAUUCCCAGUGUAAAUAAACACAUAACCAUAUAGCAAGAGCCUUGAUAAAGUCCAAAAACAUGCAAACUUGGAGUAUCUAAGAGAAAAGACCACAAUGUAAAUGAAAAACCAAAUAAACUCGGGCAAACCAUAGGAUAGGGCCCUGUCUGUGAUGGCCUGCAUAUGAUGAGCCAUAGAAAAAGGAUGGUGAAUUCUGGAUAAUAAGAAAUGUCAAUGAGAUGCAAGAACCACCUGUUUUAUGUAAAGCUCCAAAUAACCAGAUCACAGUGGACAGCCACUCAAAUAAUGCCUUCAUAAUACAGAGUAUUAUUGAGAAUAACUCAGUUCACAGAGAGCUUAAGGCAGCCAAUAUUUGAUAGCCUGUCAGAAAAAAACAGAACAGUAAUUAUAGAAAAGAAUCAUAUCCUCGGAAAAACAAAAAUUAAUCAAACUAAGUUUGUAAAGUCUAUCUUACAGACACAUUGUCUGGACUGGUCCUCUCAAAAAUACUGUUUUUUUUUAAUGCCAAUUUGUUUAGUUAAUGAUUUUUGUCUUAUUACUUCAAAACUGGAAAUAUCCUAUGACUCAUAAUAUCUUACAACCUUUCUACUUUCUUAAAGAAUCUCAAGUUUAUAAUCACAGGGGAUCGGAUUAUUUUUCAAAAAUUAAAUGGUGAUGUAAUGAUUUCUGUGUCUAUUGUAGAAAAGUCAACCUUAUUACAGCUGCAACAAUGGCAUUAAGAAAUAUGAGUAAUUCCAAUCAACUUGAGAUAAUGUCUAAUCAAACACAAAUACAACUGGUAAAUUUCAUUAAAUAGCAUGGAGAUUAAAUUAAAACACUAUUAUGUAAUAAAAACCUUUAGUGGUACUAAAAUUUUAGAAUAGUUCAGAUAUACAGAAAAAUUUCAAAGAUACACAGAGUUCCCAUUUUUUUCCUAUUACUAACCUCUCAUAUUUGUCACAACUAAUGAAUAUUCAAUAGAGUAUUAUUAACUAAAGCCUAUACAUUUAUUUAGAUUUCCUUAGUUUUUAGCUAACAUUCUUUUUCUUUGUUCCAGGAUCCCAUCCGGGCCACCACAUUGAAUUUAUUUGUCAUUUUAGGUACCUCUUGGCUGUGAGUUUCUUAGACUUUCCUUGUUUUUGGUGACCCUGACAGUUUGAGGGAGUACUAGUCAGUCAGUUAUUUUUGCAGAAUGCCCUAAAUUUGAGUUUGGCUGAUGUUUUUCUUAGGGUUUGACUGGGGUUAUGGGUUUUGGGGAGGAAGACCACAGAGGUGAAGUACCAUUCUCACCAAAUUAUAUUAAAGGUACAUACCAUCAG